AUUGAACGCUGGCGGCAUGCCUUACACAUGCAAGUCGAACGGUAACGCGGGGCGACCUGGCGACGAGUGGCGAACGGGUGAGUAAUGCAUCGGAACGUGCCCAGUAGUGGGGGAUAACUGCUCGAAAGAGCAGCUAAUACCGCAUACGACCUGAGGGUGAAAGCGGGGGAUCGCAAGACCUCGCGCUAUUGGAGACGCCGAUGUCAGAUUAGGUAGUUGGUGGGGUAAAGGCCCACCAAGCCAACGAUCUGUAGCUGGUCUGAGAGGACGACCAGCCACACUGGGACUGAGACACGGCCCAGACUCCUACGGGAGGCAGCAGUGGGGAAUUUUGGACAAUGGACGCAAGUCUGAUCCAGCCAUGCCGCGUGCGGGAAGAAGGCCUUCGGGUUGUAAACCGCUUUUGUCAGGGAAGAAACGCUCUGGGUUAAUACCUCGGGGUAAUGACGGUACCUGAAGAAUAAGCACCGGCUAACUACGUGCCAGCCGCCGCAGUAAAAC
rnacentral:rRNA from 1 species